rnacentral:rRNA from 1 species
AGUCAAUAGAUACCCAGGUAGUCCAUGCCGUAAACGAUGAUUGCUAGGUGUGGGGGGUCUGACCCCUUCCGUGCCGGAGUUAAACACAAUAAGCAAUCCACCUGGGGAGUACGGCCGCAAGGUUGAAACUCAAAGGAAUUGACGGGGGCCCGCACAAGCAGUGGAGUAUGUGGUUUAAAUUCGAAGCAACGCGAAGAACCUUACCAGGUCUUGACAUCCACCGAAUCCUGUAGAGAUACGGGAGUGCCCUUCGGGGAACGGUGAGACAGGUGGUGCAUGGUUGUCGUCAGCUCGUGUCGUGAGAUGUUGGGUUAAGUCCCGCAACGAGCGCAACCCUUGUGAAUAGUUGCUACGAAAGAGCACUCUAUUCAGACCGCCGUUGACAAAACGGAGGAAGGUGGGGAUGACGUCAAAUCAUCAUGCCCCCUAUGACCUGGGCUACACACGUACUACAAUGGCCGUUAACAGAGGGAUGCAAUGCCGCGAGGUGGAGCGAACCCCUAAAAAAACGGUCUCAGUUCAGAUUGCAGGCUGAAACUCGCCUGC